rnacentral:rRNA from 1 species
CAGUAGCCGCGGGAAUACGAAGGGUGCAAGCGUUACUCGGAAUUACUGGGCGUAAAGCGUGCGUAGGUGGUGGUUUAAGUCCGUUGUGAAAGCCCUGGGCUCAACCUGGGAAUUGCAGUGGAUACUGGGUCACUAGAGUGUGGUAGAGGAUAGUGGAAUUUCCGGUGUAGCAGUGAAAUGCGUAGAGAUCGGAAGGAACAUCUGUGGCGAAGGCGACUAUCUGGGCCAACACUGACACUGAGGCACGAAAGCGUGGGGAGCAAACAGGAUCAGAUACCCGCGUAGUCCCUGUCUCUUAUAC